GUCAAACCUCUAUCCUAGACCUAUUUCCAAACAGUUCCAAAAUAUCUCUAAGCCUUGUGUCAUGGGUGAUUCUUCGUGUUCUUCAAGUAUGCCAAGGUCCUCAACUUCUUCAUGAUUCUUGAUGCACUCCAAUCUCUUCAUCACAUGAUGCCAUGCCAAUACCAAGCCAAGUUUGCCUCACUUAAGUCACAGCCAACCCUGCGUACACACAUACAUUCAACAUAUGAUUAAUAUUCAUCAUACAUAUACAACAUAACACAUCUAAUUCAUUUUGAUAGAUAACAUACACAUUCUAACUCAGUGCACAAGUUAAUUCCAACAUUUCCAAACUAAGAAUCAAGACAAUCCCAACUCCAUAGCAAUGUAAUCGUCCCUAACAUUAUGACUAUUCUAACCUCUUUACUGACUCAAAUCCAAUCAAUAGUAACCUACUCUAAACCUUCAAACAAGCCAUAAGCAAUUUAAAAUGCAGACAUUGAUAUGCUAACAAUGAAAUAGUGCAGUUCAAGAAACACAUGAAUUCAAUCCAAAAUGGUCCACAAAACCAAUGCAAUGCUAUAUUAAUCAUGCCAAAUUCAUAUCACUUUAAUUCAACUUCCAGUCCAUGUUAGUUCAAACAGUUUGCAAUAAAACAGUCUUAGCCUUCUAACAUUUUCAACCAACUCAAUAGGCAUCCACAAGUGACAACAAACAAAUCAAUAAAGAGCUAACUGAUUCUCUCAGUUAACAUCCAAUUGAUAUCAAUCCAAGUUCAACUAACUCUCUAACCUCACCACCAAAUGCUAACAUCGGAUGCAAACCAAGUUCAAACCUAACAUCAUUAAUACACUUUAAACACAACUAACUGCAUUCCUAAACACUAACAUUAAGCUUUCAUUCAACACUAACUGCAUCCAUCAUAGCUCACUAACUCACAAUAACCACAACUGCAACUACCAUUCCAUCAUAACUAAUCACUAAUAAUUCCCAACAUGGAUAACUGUCAAAAACUAAUCCAAACUAACUUGACAUACAGUUUUUAACCUUAACUGUUUUUGUUUCAAAUUCUAACAGUUCACUUCAAAACCCAGUUUUGUACUAGCCAAUUAACAAGUUAACAUCAAUUUUUAACUAUACAUUCUCAAAUGCAGUUAACUAACUUUAACAGAGCAUCAUCCUAACUAACGUUUUUCAAUUAAUUCCCUAACAUCCUUAUCCUGAUUCGUUUUAACAUCCAAUUGUUUCCAACUUCAUUCUAACAGAAAACUAACCUAACUAACUAAGUGAAUUAACAGAUUGAGUCACUUCUAACCAACUUUCACAAUAGAAAUCUAUAUGAGCUUAACACUAUUAACAACUUAGAGCCCUAUAAAUCAUCACCAAUCAUUACAAUCAUCAUCUUGAAUCAUUCAAUACUCUCCAAAACUCUCUCACUCUCAUUUUCUCUGAGAUUUCUCUCUCAAUCAUCCACAACCCUUACCAAAGCUCCUUUGACAUACUCCAUCAAAGCUUCACCUUAAAGCUUCAAUGGAGUAGAUCUGAACCACACAGAAUCAUUCAUAUUAUCCAUUACAUAUUCUGCACACACAUCAAUCUCAAACAACAAGAACAUAGCACAACACACAUCCUAUAGGAUAAAGAAGUGAAGAAGAAUAAGAGAGAAUCUAAGGUUGAAUAAGAGGUUUAGAAGCUUAC
rnacentral:lncRNA from 1 species